rfam:Cochliobolus sativus ND90Pr unplaced genomic scaffold COCSAscaffold_2, whole genome shotgun sequence.
GCCUUCGGGCAUUUGGUCAAUGAAACGAUACAGAGAAGAUUAGCAUGGCCCCUGCACUAAGGAUGACACGCUCAAUCAAAGAGAAGCUACCAUUUUUU